UCUCUCCAUGGUUAGCCACUCACAUCUCUCGGCGGGGAACUCGGGUAGCAGCCCCUCCCCUGAUCUCUUUGCUGAUGCUGAGGCCUCUAGGCCUAUUUCGCCGGUGCUAUUAGAGGCGGAUAUGGCCGAAUCGGCUCCUAUACCUGCUGAAGUUACCAUAGAUUCUGAGGAAUCAGACUCUAAUAGCGAGGUGGAAGCUUGUUUGGGACUUACCCACGGGUUUGCUAUGAAAGAAAUCUUCCAAGCAGCCCAACAUCUCUCUCAACAAGGGAAUAUUGAUGCUGCACAAGAACGUAGGAAAUGCAACACUCUGUUGGAUUUUAUUUUCUCAAAAG
rnacentral:lncRNA from 1 species